ensembl:lncRNA
GUCUGGAGACACCUCUCCUCACCCUCAUUUAAGGGUUAGCAGCUGGGGGGUGGGGGUAGGAACUCCCUGUAUAGUGGUUGUGCUUCUCUUGGGCUAUUAUGAGUUGUUUGGAAGGGGGCUGCUGAAAUUAUCUGUGCUUUAGACCCUGGAGCCAAAUAAAGGGAAAUAGUUGGGAAGAUACCAUAUUCCGUGGGAAGCAGGGACCACGCUGCUAAACAGCCAGGGGAGGCUCAUGCUUCCCUAAUAUCCAUCACUCCCUGCUUCCAGCGUGGUCACAGACAGAACAACAAAGAGGGUCUCAGAGAAGGUCCAUAGAAUCCUAGAAUCAUUAAGAUUGGAGAAGAUCACUAAGCUCAUCUGAACCAACGAUGAAGCAAAAUAGCAUUAAACAGAGAAGAGAUAAACCAAGUGUUUAGCAUGAGACAUUUGACGCGAUAUCCAGCUCCUCUGUUGUGAGGGUGGUGUCAGGGUUGUAUUGAGAAGAGCUCACAAAGACCUCCAAAACGUCCCUUGAACUCUGUGAAGCAAAUCUGUGUGCUGAAUCAGAGAGAUGGUGUAUGGUAACCACUGAUCUUCCACCAGUACUGCAGCC